rnacentral:rRNA from 1 species
UACGGGGGGAGGCAAGCGUUGUUCGGAUUUACUGGGCGUAAAGGGCGCGUAGGCGGCCUGUGCAAGUCAGUUGUGGAAAUCUCCGAGCUUAACUCGGAACGGUCAAGUGAUACUGUCGGACUAGAGUACAGAAGGGGCAACUGGAAUUCUCGGUGUAGCGGUGAAAUGCGUAGAUAUCGAGAGGAACACCUGCGGCGAAGGCGGGUGCUGGGCUGACACUGACGCUGAUGCGCGAAAGCUAGGGGAGCGAACGGG